rnacentral:rRNA from 1 species
GACGAACCGUGCAAACGUUAUUCGGAAUCACUGGGCAUAAAGGGCGCGUAGGCGGCUUUCUAAGUCAGGGGUGAAAUCCGGCAGCUCAACUGUCGCAGUGCCUUUGAUACUGGAGAGCUCGAGGGAGGUAGGGGUCUGUGGAACUUCCGGUGGAGCGGUGAAAUGCGUUGAUAUCGGAAGGAACGCCGGUGGCGAAAGCGACGGACUGGAUCUCUUCUGACGCUGAGGCGCGAAAGCCGGGGAGCAAAGCGGG